rnacentral:rRNA from 1 species
GGCGUCCGCUUUGUAAUCUCAAGAAGUGUUUUCCGCUUCGGACCAUGCCUAAGUCCCUUGGAAAAGGGCAUCAUAGAGGGUGAUAAUCCCGUACAUGGCAUGGAGCGCCCGAAGCUUUGUGAUACGCUUUCUACGAGUCGAGUUGUUUGGGAAUGCAGCUCAAAAUGGGUGGUAAAUGCCAUCUAAGGCUAAAUAUUGGGGAGAGACCGAUAGCGAACAAGUACAGUGAUGGAAAGAUGAAAAGAACUUUGAAAAGAGAGUUAAACAGUACGUGAAAUUGCCAAAAGGGAAGGGUAGGAGGUCAGAGAUGCGUCUUGGGAUUCAGCCUUGCUUUUGCAUGGUGUUUUUCCCAAGUUGCAGGCCAACGUCGGUUUUGGGCACUGGAGAAGGGUAGGAGGAACGUGGCACCUCUCGGGGUGUGUUAUAGCCUCCUACUGGAUACAGCGACCGAGACCGAGGAACGCAGCGUACUCGUAAGAGCGGGCCUUUUGGCACCUUUACGCUUAGGGCGUUGGCAUAAUGGCCCUCUACCACCCGUCUUGAAACACGG